rnacentral:rRNA from 1 species
AUUGAACGCUGGCGGCAGGCCUAACACAUGCGAGUCGAGCGGAUGAAGGGAGCUUGCUCCUGGAUUCAGCGGCGGACGGGUGAGUAAUGCCUAGGAAUCUGCCUGGUAGUGGGGGAUAACGUCCGGAAAUGGGCGCUAAUACCGCAUACGUCCUGAGGGAGAAAGUGGGGGAUCUUCGGACCUCACGCUAUCAGAUGAGCCUAGGUCGGAUUAGCUAGUUGGUGGGGUAAAGGCCUACCAAGGCGACGAUCCGUAACUGGUCUGAGAGGAUGAUCAGUCACACUGGAACUGAGACACGGUCCAGACUCCUACGGGAGGCAGCAGUGGGGAAUAUUGGACAAUGGGCGAAAGCCUGAUCCAGCCAUGCCGCGUGUGUGAAGAAGGUCUUCGGAUUGUAAAGCACUUUAAGUUGGGAGGAAGGGCAGUAAGUUAAUACCUUGCUGUUUUGACGUUACCAACAGAAUAAGCACCGGCUAACUUCGUG